rnacentral:rRNA from 1 species
CUUGUACCUGGUGGCGAGCGGCGGACGGGUGAGUAAUGCCUAGGAAUCUGCCUGGUAGUGGGGGAUAACGCUCGGAAACGGACGCUAAUACCGCAUACGUCCUACGGGAGAAAGCAGGGGACCUUCGGGCCUUGCGCUAUCAGAUGAGCCUAGGUCGGAUUAGCUAGUUGGUGAGGUAAUGGCUCACCAAGGCGACGAUCCGUAACUGGUCUGAGAGGAUGAUCAGUCACACUGGAACUGAGACACGGUCCAGACUCCUACGGGAGGCAGCAGUGGGGAAUAUUGGACAAUGGGCGAAAGCCUGAUCCAGCCAUGCCGCGUGUGUGAAGAAGGUCUUCGGAUUGUAAAGCACUUUAAGUUGGGAGGAAGGGCAUUUACCUAAUACGUAAGUGUUUUGACGUUACCGACAGAAUAAGCACCGGCUAACUCUGUGCCAGCAGCCGCGGUAAUACAGAGGGUGCAAGCGUUAAUCGGAAUUACUGGGCGUAAAGCGCGCGUAGGUGGUUUGUUAAGUUGGAUGUGAAAUCCCCGGGCUCAACCUGGGAACUGCAUUCAAAACUGACAAGCUAGAGUAUGGUAGAGGGUGGUGGAAUUUCCUGUGUAGCGGUGAAAUGCGUAGAUAUAGGAAGGAACACCAGUGGCGAAGGCGACCACCUGGACUGAUACUGACACUGAGGUGCGAAAGCGUGGGGAGCAAACAGGAUUAGAUAC